rnacentral:rRNA from 1 species
UACAGAGGGGGCAAGCGUUAUUCGGAAUUAUUGGGCGUAAAGAGCGUGUAGGCGGCUUGUUAAGUCUUGCGUGAAAUCUCGGGGCUCAACCCCGAGCGGUCGUGAGAAACUGGCAGGCUAGAGUGCGGGAGAGGAGAGUGGAAUUCCUGGUGUAGCGGUGAAAUGCGCAGAUAUCAGGAAGAACACCCGUGGCGAAGGCGGCUCUCUGGAACGCAACUGACGCUGAGACGCGAAAGCGUGGGGAGCAAACAGG